GAUGAAGAACGCAGCGAAAUGCGAUAAGUAAUGUGAAUUGCAGAAUUCAGUGAAUCAUCGAAUCUUUGAACGCACAUUGCGCCCGCCAGUAUUCUGGCGGGCAUGCCUGUCCGAGCGUCAUUUCAACCCUCGAACCCCUCCGGGGGGUCGGCGUUGGGGAUCGGCCCUUUACGGGGCCGGCCCCGAAAUACAGUGGCGGUCUCGCCGCAGCCUCUCCUGCGCAGCAGUUUGCACACUCGCAUCGGGAGCGCGGCGCGUCCACAGCCGUUAAACACCCCAAACUUCUGAAAUGUUGACCUCGGAUCAGGUAGGAAUACCCGCUGAACUUAAGCAUAUCAAUAAGCGGAGGA
rnacentral:misc_RNA from 1 species